GAACAUAUCAAACAUCUAUCUCCUUAUAUUUUUUCACAGGAUUUUUCAAAUAGACUUACAGAAGUUGAUGAUGAUAAACAUUAUCAAUGACAAACCAACUCGAAAGAGUUUUUAUCAAGAUGUUGAUAUUAGGUGAACAAAUAUAACUAUGUAACUUGUCAUCAUCAAUAGAUAGAUUUUUUUUUUUAUCUCAAACACAGAUAACGAAACGCAAUUUCCCUUUUGAAACGGAAUUACGGAAACGCAUAUAUUUUCAUUCCACAAAACAGCAGACAGUACAACCACAACACGUGGACAUACAGGAUAUACAAAUUUAACAUAAAAUCUGUGACGCGCAGCUACGACAAAGACUCGCAGCCAGCUAAUUACGACUCUUUUCGACGCCCGGACGGCGGACGUGCGCGUCGCAAGCCGAUCAAUACCGGCGGGCUGCGCGCGCAGCCAUCCUCCCUUUGCCAUGGCCGCGGACGCAGGAGAACACCCUGAACGCGCGCGAGAGCGACCCGAUCUUGCUCUUGCUCUUCUUGGUCUUGGUCUUUUUGGUCUUGCCUCCGCGCGCCGGCCCGACCACGCGCCGCCACAGCGCCCCAAGCGACGUCGGCGCCCUCCUCCGGGCCGCCGGCCUCGUCGUCGCCGCCUUCUUCUUCCUCAUCCACAUCCUGCCGCCGGUCAGAGGUAACAACGCCAAAGCUUCUUUGAGGCGAUGAGAACAAGCAGAUGGGGAGGCGAUGUCGUGUGCUGUUAACUUUAGCACAUGGUCAUCAUUUUAUACCACGCUCGGACGGUGGGUGCGUCGCGCCACAUCACGUACGUGGCGUCCGGAUGGGACGGCUUGUCGGCGUGUGCGUGCAGCCGACUUGGUGGCACGUGCCCACUGCACGGCUAGGGGCUUCUGCGGAAUCCAUACACGAAGGCUUCUUGGAUGGUUGACAGUAUCGGUCAUGAUUGAUCCGUGCGUGUUGUCGACCGUGUGCCACGGGUGCUAGUUUACGUGGAUGCCGACAUGCGUAUGCGCUUUGGGCAGUUAGGUGUCCUUGCCACGUUCAUGGAUAUUCUUCUUUUUUUAUUAUUAUUAAUAUUAACGUUCAUGGAUAAGUAGACAAUGAUUCACUUCGUAGGCCAUAUUUUUGUAGUCGGUCCGCAGCUGUAUACGUGUCUAAAAGGGCUAUUACCAACUAGUAAAAGUGCCCGUGCGUUGCAACGGGCGAACACCAAAAACUCAUAAAAGUUAUAAUGUCCAAUAGAAAACAAUUCAAGUUCAUCAAAUUGCACCAAACUGAUGUAAAUGCUACAAAUAAUUUGGUUGAUGCAAAAGUGGAGGAUUAAAGUCUGGUUGAUGCAGUGUUAUAUUUAACAAUUGGACAUAACAAGAAGGGCCACAAAAUCUCUUGAACAGAAAAAAUACUGACAUAAACUUCUUUGUUCCUCCAGUAUGCUUGACAUUAGCUAAGUGUAUCUCCACAUCUUAGUUCCUAUGCCAACCAUGUACCAGAUUGGUAAAAUUUAAGCUAGCCAAGGAAUGAAAAGACAAAUAUGAUCAUUGUAGCCUACGGCAAUUCAUUGUGUUUCAAUAAAAGCCAUGGAAAAUAUAUGUAAAUGAAAACGAGCAAUACCCACCCAACUGGAAAUUGCUGCCAAUUAAAGAAAAGAUUGUUUGUUAGCACUGAAGUAUCGAGUGAAAGGGAAACUAAGAAUAGUUCAAGUCUAACAGAAUAGCGAGAUAUUGGAACAAAAUUUAGGAAUAGUACAACUACUAUUUUAAAAACUGAACUAAGUUUUCUCUAUACGCAUAAAUCAUCAAUCAUAUGUUCACUUAUUAGUUGCCAAUUAAAGGUUGAACUUAGAAUUAUAGACCUUACAAUUACUCCCUAACAAGAAAAUGGAAAGCUAAAAACGAAUCCAACCAGGAUCUUUGUAUAUUGGCAUGACAUGCGCGGAGCACAAUGUUACUUUAUUUUUGCCACAUACCAAAUCUUAUGCCAAUAACUUAGUAACAGCAAGAUCAUUCUGAUAACCAGGUACAGAGCAUACUGAAUUUACCAGAUAAGAGUUAUCAACUCGCAGCUGAACACCUGAAGUAUUUUGAGCAGACAAGUUCUGUGAAGAGCGCUCCGUGGAAUAAUCAAUUGACGUACUUUCAGUAUGAAUUAGCUUCAAUUCAUCUCCAGAAUUAGAUAUUGUUUCAAAUCCAAUAGGAUAUGAUUCUACUAUUUCUUCUCUUGGUGAUACUUCAGACAUGGUAUCCAGAACCUCCAUACCAUCUUUCAAGAAGCUGCCCACCUUCCUGGAACAUGCAGAUUGGGAUUCUAUACCAUCUUUCAAGAAGCUGCCCACCUUCCUGGAACAUGCAGAUUGGGAUUCUAGGUCAGACUUAAGCAGAGAGCGCUUCUGCAGAGACGAAAAAUACACAUUGUAAAAAAAUACAUAUCAAUUUGACAACUACUACUGUAAAUAUUAACAGUGUACCGUUGCAUAUAUUGAAGAAAUUGUGAAGCUCUAUUUCAUCAAUAGAGAUCUUUCUCAUGCUGACUACGUGAUAUCAAUUGUGCCAUAACAUUAUUUAGUAACUAAUCAAAAAGUAUCAAAAGCUAGCUACCAAAGCAUCAGUAAACCAUUUCAGCCACAUAGAAUUAUUCCAGUCGAGAAAGGAGUUUGUGGACACAAAGAUGCACAUAUUAACUAAUUCAGGAUGAACGUGAUUGAGAUCUUUGCACGAAAGUUCUAACACUACCUCCAGUAUCUACUUUUUUCACUAAUCAAUAUGCUCAAACUGAGACCACAAUGUCCACCCAUUUCAUCCCAGUGCACUAAAUUAAGUUACCCAUUAUCUGAAUCGGCGCUGCAUAUUACCAUUUGCCUAACGCUCGCUGAUGAAGAGGGGGAAAUCAAGCUACUUCUCCGGCCACGUUGAGGCGACGGGUUCCCCUUCGUCCGGCUCCUCCUCCCCGAACGGCAGCAACGACGACGCGAUCUGGGAGAUUCACCUCACCCUACCCCCGAUCUCAGCCAGAUCGCUUCGGAUCCCCGCGAUCCCCGUAGAGUCAAACCUGGUUUUGUCCGGAACAAAUUAAGGCAAAACAAAGACAUAGCAUUGUCGGUCAUUGAAAUCACUAUCCCAAAAGACAGAGCUAGAUUUGUCGGCACCUUAUGAGCUUUGUUUUGAUGCCAGUUCAGAAUCGCUGAGAUUGAUGGUGUGGCUCGAGAGAAGCUGGAUGAUGGUGAAAGGACGGGCACCGACAUGGACAAACCGCUUGUCUUCCUUGACGAAAUCGAUGGCAUCAAACACCCUCUCGUCUUUCCCAUCACUGAUGCUGUGCUUCCAGAUAGAAGCAAAUUUACCAAAAUCUAGAGUGUGGUAGACGCAGUCUGCCUGAACGGAUGGAAACUUGGCGGCAUCACCAACCAGGCACUUUUGAUGACCGAUGAAGAUGGCAUACCUGCCCACGGUCUCCACAGGCGCAAGGACUUGUUUCUCUGUUGGUUCGAUGCCGAGAACCAGAACGCGUCGUUCUCCACCAAAGUUCAGUAGGAAACACCGGACGUCGCUGCGAUCUGCAAGAGGGUCGACACAGAAAAACUUGACGGAAUGCUCGCAUCCGAGCCGCUCCUACGCACCAGAGGGCCCGUCGUUGUCGGAUCUGUGCGGGGGCUUCUCCCGGAGCGGACGUCGCCGCGAUCUGCAAGAGGGUCGACAGAGAAAAACUUGAUGAAAUGGUCGCAUCUGAGCUGCUCCUAUGCACCAGAGGGCCCGCCGUUGUCGGAUCUGUGCGGGGGCUUCGCCCGGAGGACGCACACGGACGACAACGAGGGAGGAUGAGAAGGGGAGCAUCCGCUGCGCAGGCGAGAUGCGCCGGAGUGGUAGAGCUUGGUCAUGGGAGGGGAGCGACUCUGCCCAGGGGCUUUUUUACAAAAACAACGAAACGUUUUUUCCACUUACUAUAGGACUACGGGUUAAUUUGGAAGGAACAGAAGGACUUUACUGUAAAAACGCCAGCGACGGACGGCACAAGCGCUCCGCGCUUUAUUAUUAGGGGAGACUAGGGACAGAGUAGAUUACGACUGUCAACUUUGCCUUGUUACUUUUUUCUACUCCUCCUGUUUCUUGAUAUAACUAUUUUUAAAAUUUUUUUUACAGUGAGUAUUUUUAAAGAUUUUGAAUGGAUUACAUACUGAUGUAUAUAGAUAUAUUUUAGUGUGUAAAUUUAUUAUUUUAUUCCAUAUGUAAUCCAUUUUGAUAUAUUUUUAUAAAUACUAAUAAUUUAGAAAAGAGUACAUACCAAGUGGUAUCAACUCUUUCAGGGCAAAGUGACGGGGCGCGAUAAUAACCUAUGAUACCAUGCGGAAUAAAUAUUGGGCAAUGAGUCCUGCUGCACGUACGACAAAUUCCAUACGAUUUACAUACGACAGUCAGCAGUAGCCGUUCGUUGAACCACACGGACGAAUGGGAUCACAUCGUACGUACAUAAAUCGUACACACCUUCUGUCAUAUGCACAACAUUUUUGUUGGGCAAUUAUAACUAACGAACGUGGUCUUUUGUGGCCUUUCCAGCUAAGGUUGCAAUUUUCAUGCCAAGUAUGGUGACUUUUCUGUUUUUUCUUGUGCUACAUGACCAUUUUCGCCUCCUGUCAUGACAAAUUUUAUAAAGUUUUUUUUAAACACAAUACAGACACAACCUCUUUCAUAUACGUGCAUACACAGAUACAAUCAUCCUUAUAAACGCACAUAUAUAUAUAUAUAUAUCCUAUCGGAAAAAGUUUAUUUUUAAACCUUGGAUUUGUAGAGGUCGGAUGGAAUGACCCUUAAAUCAAAAUGCCGGUCGAGUAUAUCAUGAACUAUAUAAUCCCGGUCUAAAUCAAACAUUGAGAUUGUUUUAGUUUAAAAAAUACUGACGUGGCAAGGAUUCGUCUAAUGAACCGGCCCUGCUAUAGUUUUUGUGCAAAGGGCGUACAUCCUUCUCUCUACUGGACCGGCCACUGUACCGCGAAAAACCACCCAAAAAAUUGCGCAUCCCAGGAGUCAAACUCACGCCGUACAAAUCCUGCACUAGAACGGCUACCACUGUACCGUUCGAGUGCUAGUGAUUGAAUACAACACGCAUUAUUUAAGAACAUUUCUAGCCGCGUUAUUUGAAUUAAAACAAGUUCACUAAUUUUGAGAAAGAAAAAUCACUAAUUGAUCGGACCAGUUGACUGCUCAAUAUAUAUGUGUAUAUUUUUUGAAAAAUCAGGAAUUAAAAAUAUAAUUUUAAAAAAGUUCAUAGAUUAAAAAAGUCUGAUGAAAUAUUAAAAAAACUCACAAAAAUGGAAAAUUUUCAUUGAUAUUAAAGAAAAUCAUAGAUUUUAAGAAAAGUUCAUCUAUUUCAUAAACUUUAAAAAAAUAUACUCCCUCAAUCCGAAAAUACUUGUCCAAAAAUAUAUAAAAUGGAUGUAUCUAUAACUAAAAUAAGUCUAGAUACAUCUAUUUCUAAGACAAGCAUUUUCGGACGAACGAAGUAUUAAAAAGACUGCUCUCUUCGCUCAUCUGACAGUCAUGGGGUUUUCGGUGUGGCUACUCCAUUUGCUCACUAGGCGACCACCGCCUGGGCAUCCGCCAUGGGGUUUGGCCGCGACCUUGAGGAGCUGCAUGAUGCCAUCGGGCUCAAUAGGAAGCACCAACCCCGGGUGUGUGCGUGUCGUGAUCUGUGUUGCCGUGACAACGAGCAGCAUGCCACCUUCAGGCUCGAUGGGAAGCACUAGCACCUAUGCAUGCCACGAUUUGUGUCACAUGUGACGAGGAGCUCCACGCAGCCGUUGGGCUCGAUGGGAAGCACCAACGUGAGUUGCUCCUUCCGAACUGAGGUACUUGUUGAUGCCCCGGUACACCCUUCAACUUUUUUUGUCACCAUCCACAACCGAACAAUUUCUAUCUCCGUGAACUAUUUCCAAUUCCUGAGAAUAGGUUUUUGUUUUGGAAAAGGUCUGAGAAUAAGUUGAUGGGAGUAACUACAUAGCGAGUGCUUCUUCGGGAGCCUCCCAACGAUCGCUCCCACGCGUCGUUGCUUGACGCAUUCUCAGCCACCGUCACGUGUCGCGUUAUGAGCGUUUCCUUUGUAUUUUUUUUCUUUUUUUUAUACAUGUUUUCAACUUUUUAGAGUGUUUUUUCCGGGGUUUUUUCGCACAGCUGUGCCUCUCGGAAAGAGAAAAACACGUUUUCCGGUCUCUUUUUUCUGCGAGAGGUACGGUUUUGCUAUUGCAAGAGGCACGGGCGAGCCUCUCGAAAAGAAAAAACGCGUUUUCUGCUCUCUCUUUUUUCUGCGAGAGUCACAGUUUUGCUAUCGCGAGAGGCACGGCCGUGCCUCUCCGAAAGAAAAAAACACGUUUUCUGCGCUCUUUUUUUUUGCGAGAGGCACGAUUUUGCUUCCGCGAGAUCCAAGGUUUUGCUGCCACGAGGUCACGGCCAUGCCUCUUGAAAAGGGGAAAAACGCGUUUUCUGCUCUCUUUUUUUGCGAGAGGCACGGUUUUACUUCCGCGAGAGACACGGUUUUGCUAUCGCAAGAGGCACGCUCAGAAAGAAAAAAAUGUGUUUUAUGCUCUCUCUCUCUUUUUUUCGCAAGAGGCGCGUUUUGCUUCCGCGGGAGGCACGACCGUGCCUCUCGGAAAAGAAAAAAUGCCGGUUUUUUCGUCCGGUUUUUUUUAUGAAAAAAAGUUUGUCAAAACCUAUCAAUAUGGGAUCUAGUUUUAAAGAUCUCGACGCGAGAAACCGAACAGUGAAAACAGUUCAAGAUUAGAAUGCAUGGUUUAGAGAUAAAACGUUUUGAAAAUACGAUCUACGAAAAAGGAAAAACUCCCAGGUUGCGACGAGUGGCACACAUGUAGUACGCUAGUUGUCACAUUCUCGGGAAGUGGGAGUAAUCGUUGAAAGAUGUACUCGCUAACUAGUGAUUUUGUAGGUUGCUGGGCCUGAAGUGGUCAGCGAAUUAGGCGGGCCUAGACUUUUUCCCCGCACACACCGCAACCAACCCUGGUAAUUUGUCUGAAAAAAAAAUUCGGGCCAUCCUUUGCAAUCCCGGUUUGGUAAACAAUCCGAGGGUUUGAUUUAGACUGAGAUUGCAUAGUUCAGGGUGCAAUCGAUAGGGAUUUCGAUUUUAGGGUUCAUUUUGCCAAACCUCUACAAGUUCACGGUUUAAAAUGAACUUUUCCCUACCAUAUCCCUAUGAGCACCUUCGAAAGACUGAGCCGACAUAUUAUCUUGAAAUUCACGGAGUCACCGCAGGCACCUCGUCGUCGAUGGGAACGUCUCCUCCCACUCAAUGCGCAUCGUCGAGAAUCCUGAAAUAAAUCCAAAAAUAAAUGCGAACACCAGGACUUGAAUCCUGAUGGGCUAAGAAUACCGGAGUCCCUCUAACCAUCCAACCACAGAUCGGUUCACCAAAUCCUACAAAGUUACCAUGGCAACUUUAGCUGGUUUGUCAUGGCAAGUUUGAGAUUCGUAAGGAAAAAUGUAUCGAGGAAACGUUCCCUAGAUAUUGCAGUCUAUGCCAAUAUAAACAAAUAAUGAAAUAUUUUAUUAAUCAUUAUGAAAUCUUGUGGGUGACGUGGUUUCUGAAUUUUAUACGAACGUUCCUAAGGGGGGUGGAUAUCCUCUCAUCGCCUCGGAGCCCGGAUCUCACGACGACGGCCUCGGUUUGGCUGUGGCUGCGUGGCUUCACAACAUCUCUAGCAGACCCCGUAUAAUCGUCGAAACUGUAAAAUUCCGGCGACUAUACGGGUUUGGGUUGUUUUUCCUGCAGAGGAGAUACUCUAAACGCGGCCCGGCCCAUAAAACUUUUGCGGUGGCCCGUAAACGCGAGCGCUCGACCGCUAUAUCUGCGGGUUCGACCGCUGGAUGCAGGUCGAAACCCUAUCCCUCCGUCGCCGCGAAAAGUCCCCUCACCUCACCGUCGGCGCCUCCAUUCCGCCGUGUAGCCGCUCCAUUCCAUCGCCCUUGAUGUCCAACUCUGGUAACCAUAGGAACGAUGACCCCGAGAGGGCUCGUUGCGUCAGAUCCAACGCCGCCCGUAAGCGCGCCGCCCGCCGGUUCACGCAGUGGGGCCGGACGCCGCCGCCGUCGCUCCUCCGUCGCGAGACAGAAGAGUACGACCGCGCGCGCGGCCGCCUCUUCUUCAGCAGCUCCUUUGAGGCGUCGAGCUCGAGCUCGUGCUUCUCCCUCCCCCGGUGAAAAGGGAGCUCGAAGAGCUCCCGUCGGUGAAGAUGGAGACGGAGGCAGAGGCGGUGCCGGAGCGAUGUGCCGGGGCCGUCGUCGGACCAGAGGAUUUCCUCCCUUCGGCGGAGGCGGAUAGCCUUUUGCCCGUGCUGCUGGCACGGAGUGCACGAGAGGCGGAAGAGGACCAGCAGUGCCGCCGGAGGGAGGAGGUGAUCGACACCGUGUGUUGGGGAACGUAGCAAAAUUUCAAAAUUUUCCUACGCCAUACAUGGAUCUUCCUAUGAAGAAACCAGCAACGAGAGAGGGGUGAGCGCAUCUUCGUACCUUUGAAGGUUGCUAAGCGGUUCCUGGAACGCGGUUGAUGGAGUUGUACUCGCUGCGAUUCAGAUCGUGGUGUGAUUCCAAUCUAGUGCUGGACUACGGCACCUCCGCGUUCAACACACGUGCAACCCAGUGACAUCUCCCGCACGUUGAACCAGCAAAGAGGAGGGAGAGGUUGGGAAAGAACUCCGGCAGCACGACGGCGUGGUGGCGGUGGAGCUACGAGGUAUCCCGGCAGGGCUUCCCCAAGCACCGUGGGAGAGAAGGGAGAGGAGAAGUAGGGCUGCGCCGAGAGGGAAAGAAUUGCCUCCUCAAAAUAGCCAAAAGCCUCACUAUAUAUAGGGGAAAGGGGAGGGGCGCACCCUUUAGGGUUCCCACCCCCAAAGGGUGCGGCAGCCCUAGAUGGGAGGUGCAAGGCGGCGACCAUGGGAGGAGAGGGGGUGGCGCACCCCUAGGUGGGCCUUAGACCCACCAGCGUCUAGGGUUUCCCCUCCUUCCCCUCUUGUGCGCCUUAGGCUCGGUGUGGGGGGCGCACCAGCCCACCUAGGGGUUGGUUCCCUCUCACACUUGGCCCAUGAAGCCUCCCGGGGCUGGUGGCCCCUCCCGGUGGCCCCCCGGAACCCUUCCGGUGGUCCCGGCACGUUGCCGGUGGUGCCCGAAACAUUUUCCGCGUCCAAACCCAUCCAUCCUAUAUAUCAAUCUUUACCUCCGGACUAUUCCGGGGCUCCUCGUGACGUCCGGGAUCUCAUUCGGGACUCCGAAAAACCUUCUAUAAACUCGUACAACAAUUCCCUAUAACCCUAGCGUCAUCGAACCUUAAGUGUGUAGACACUACGGGUUCGGGAGGUAUGCAGACAUGACCGAGACACCUCUCCGGCCAAUAACCAUCAGCGGGAUCUGGAUACCCAUGAUGGUUCCCACAUGUUCCACGAUGAUCUCAUCGGAUGAACCACGAUGUCAAGGAUUCAAUCAAUCCCGUAUACAAUUCCCUUUGUCUAUCGGUAUAGAACUUGCCUGAGAUUCGAUCAUCGGUAUCCCUAUGCCUUGUUCAAUCUCGUUACCGACAAGUCUCUUUACUCGUUCCGUAGCACAUCAUCCCGUGACUAACUCCUUAGUCACAUUGAGCUCAUUGUGAUGAUGUUCUACCGAGUGGGCCCAGAGAUACCUCUCCGUCACACGGAGUGACAAAUCCCGAUCUCGAUUCGUACCAACCCAAGAGAUACUUUCGGAGAUACCUGUAGUGCCCCUUUAUAGUCACCCAGUUACAUUGUGACGUUUGAUACACCCAAAGCGCUCCUACGCUAUCCGGGAGUUGCACAAUCUCAUGGUCGAAGGAAAAGAUACUUGACAUUAGAAAAUAUUUAGCAUACGAACAACACGAUCUAGUGCUAUGCUUAGGAUUGGGUCUUGUCCAUCACAUCAUUCUCCCAAUGAUGUGAUCCCGUUAUCAAUGACAUCCAAUGUCCAUGAUCAGUAAACCAUGAUCAUCUAUUGAUCAACGUGCUAGCCAACUAGAGGCUUGCUAGGGACACAUUGUGAUUUAUUUAUUCACACAUGUAUUAUUAUUUCCUGUUAAUACAAUUAUAGCAUGAACAAUAGACGGUUAUCAUGAACAAGGAAAUAUGAUAAUAACCAUUUUAUUAUUGCCUCUAGGGCAUGAUGAUCCACAAGUGUAGGGGGUCUAUCAUAGUCCUUUCGAUAAGUAAGAGUGUCGAACCCAACGAGGAGUAGAAGGAACUAACAAGUGGUUUUCAGCAAGGUAUUCUCUGCAAGCACUGAAAUUAUCGGUAACAGAUAGUUGUGCGAUAACAUGAUUCGUAGCAAGUAGCAAGUAACAAUAGUAACAAAGGUGCAGCAAAGUGGCCCAAUCCCUUUUGUAGCAAGGGACAAGCCUGGACAAACUCCUAUAGGAGGUGAAGUGCUCCCGAGGACACAUGNNNNNNNNNNNNNNNNNNNNNNNNNNNNNNNNNNNNNNNNNNNNNNNNNNNNNNNNNNNNNNNNNNNNNNNNNNNNNNNNNNNNNNNNNNNNNNNNNNNNNNNNNNNNNNNNNNNNNNNNNNNNNNNNNNNNNNGCUCCCGAGGACACAUGUGAAUUUCUGUCAAGCUAGUUUUCGUCAUGUUCAUAUGAUUCGCGUUCGCUACUUUGAUAGUUUGGUAUGUGGGUGGACCGGUGCUUGGUGCUGCCCUUACUUGGAAAAACAUCCCACUUAUGAUUAACCCCUAUCGCAAGCAUCCGCAACUAUGAAAGAAGAAUUAAGACAAAGUCUAACCAUAGCAUUAAACUAGUGGAUCCAAAUCAGCCCCUUACGAAGCAACGCAUAAACUAGGGUUUUAGCUUCUGUCACUCUAGCAACCCAUCAUCUACUUACUACUUCCCAAUGCCUUCCUCUAGGCCCAAAUAAUGGUGAAGUAUUAUGUAGUCGACGUUCACAUAACACCACUAGAGGAAAAACAACAUACGACAUACCAAAUUACCAAACGAAUACCAAAUUCACAUGACUACUAUUAGCAUGACUUNNNNNNNNNNNNNCCCAAAUAAUGGUGAAGUGUUAUGUAUUCGACGUUCACAUAACACCACUAGAGGAAAAACAACAUACAACGCAUCAAAAUAUCGAACGAGUACCAAAUUCACGUGACUACUUAUAGCAAGACUUAUCCCAUAUCCUCAGGAACAAAAGUGACUACUCACAAAGCAUAAUUAUGUUCAUGACCAGAGAGGUAUUGAAUAGCAUUAGAGAUCUGAAUAUAUGAUCUUCCAUCGAGUAAUCCAACUAGCAUCAACUACAAAGAGUAAUUAACACUACUAGCAACCUUACAAGUACCAAUCGGAGUCGCGAGACGGAGAAUGGUUACAAGAGAUGAACUAGGGUUUGGAGAUGAGAUGGUGCUGAUGAAGAUGUUUCUGGUGAUGAGUCCCCUUCGAUGAGAUGAGUGUUUGUGAUGACGAUGGAAACUAUUUCCCCCUUCGGGAGGGAAGUUUCCCCGGCAGGAUGCCCUUGCCGGAGUUCUAGAUUGGUUCUGCUCAAGUUUCGCCUCGUGGCGGCGGCGAUUCCUCCCGGAAGCCUCCUCCUGAUUUUUUUCUGGAACGAAACCCUCCUUAUAGCAAAAGAUGGGAGCCGGAGGGGCAACAGGGGGCCCACAAUCCACCUAGGCGCGGCAAGGGGGGUAGGCCGCGCCUGACAGGCUUGUGGCCUCCUGGUGGCUCCCCUGUGGUACUUUUUCCGCCCAGUAUUUUUUAUAAAAUCCAAAAUACUUCCGCGUUGAUUUUCACGGCUUUUGGAGUUGCACAGAAUAGCUAUCUCAAACUUGCUCUUUUUUCACACCAGAAUUCCAGCUGUCGGCAUUCUCCCUCUUCAUGUAAACCUUAUAAAAUAAGAGAGAAAAUGCAUAAGUAUUGUACCGUGAAGUGUAAUAACAGCUCAUAAAGCGAUAAAUAUCAACAUAAAAGCAUGAUGCAAAAUGGACGUAUAACCUCCCCCAAGCUUAGACCUCGCUUGUCCUCAAGCGAAAGCCAAGAUCAAUAAAUAUGCCCACAUGUUUAGAGAUAGAGGUGUCGAUAAAACAAAAUACGGACAUGCAGGCAUCAUGAUCAUAAUUAGAACAACAAUAGCGUCAUAUAAACUCUUAUGCUAAAGUGACAAUUCCUUCACAAAGUAAAGUAUGGGUCAAGAACCUUAUUGAGAAUUAACAACCAAUAGCCUUUAGUCAUUGAAGCAAUUGCAAUUUAUCGUAACAUCGGAAAGAGUCAAAUAAGAGCUUGUAAAGCAAAUCCACAUACUCAAUCGUCCUUUCGUCUUCUACAAUUGCUAAAACUCUCGUGGUACUCAUAAGAUCAAAGUUUCAGUUGGACACAGAGAAAGAUAGGGGCUUAUAGUUUCGCCUCCCGACUACUUACCUCAAGGGUAAUGUCAACAAUAAUAAUUCAUGGAUACUUACUUCCAAGUUGACAUAUGAAUAUAGAUCUUUCCCUAGCAUACGGCGUUAGCCAAGAUAAAGGCGAAAUAACGAAUUGGUGUCGAUCACCAUGACUCUUUUAAGGACAAAAAGUAAAGGUACAAGAUAGGACCUUCGCAUAGGGAAACAGAGGUUGUCAUGCACUUUUGAGGUUUGGAUGUGUGAUCUCUUAGUGUGGAGGAACGUCACUUUAUAUUGCCUCCUGUGAUAAAGAACUUUAUUAUGCAGUCCGUCGCUUUUAUGUCUUCCUCAUCACAGGUUCGUACAAAGCUUAUUUUCCAUACACUAAUAGAUCAUACAUAUUUAGGGAGCAAUUUUUAUUGCUUGCACCCAUGACAACUUACUUGAGGGAUCUUAUUCAAUCCAUAGGUAGGUAUGGUGGACUCUCAAGGCAAAACUGGGUUGAAGGUUUAUGGAUGCACAAGUAGUAUCUCUACUUAGUGCGGAAGUUUUGGCUGAUAUGAGGUGGAAGCAAGCGUCACAUGCUAAGGGAUCUCUAGUCAUAUAACAUUGUUCGGAACCAAGCAAACAUAAUUCAUUAUGUUGUCUUCCUUGUCCAACAUCUACUUCUAAGCAUGUAACUGUUUAAUGAGUGUUCACAAUCAUAGAUGGUGCCCAAGAUGAUAUUUUUAUAUGUGAACCUCUCCUUCUUUAGUACUUCCUAUUAAUUGCAACAAUGACCAGGGUCUACGUUAGUCCACCCACAACAAGUUUCAAUCAUCAUUCUUUUUAUAUGUGAAGCCAUCACUUCCCAUAAGAUCAUUACAUGAUCUUUCAUGCUUUUGUUCUCUUAUUAUUCUUUUCUUUAGAUCAUGGCAUGAGGCAAGGACCUUCACUAAAUGACUCUUUAUUAUAUGACUCACAAGCUCGAAUACAUUGGGGGUAACACAAAGCAAAACUCAAGCCUAGAACACUAAGAACUUUAUUCUACUAGAGAAAGAUAAAACCAAAAAGGAUCGAACUAAGAAAAAGGUAAAGGCAAAAGAUGUGAUAGUGAUACGAUACCGGAGCAACUCCCCAAGCUUGGCACAAGCCAAGAGGAGUGCCCAUACCCGUGCUUAAAUGUCUUCCUUCGAAGGUGACGGUGGUGGAGUUGUUGCAAUCUGGGGUUGAUUCUCCGUCUUCCAAGGCAUAGGUGCUCCAUCAUGGAAAGAUGAUCGAGUCUCCGGAAUCCUCAAAUGUGCAGCCAACCGUAUUGAUUUAAAUCUAUACUCAUACUCACAAUUUUGGUUCUGCAGGUCGUAGAUCUAGGCUUGGAGGUGAUCAAUUCUGUCAUAGAGCCUGGAGAGGUGCUUCCCGAUGUCAUUGGCAUCAAUCUUGUGCUUGUUGGUGAACUCCGUGAUCAUCAUGUGGUUGGCGUUGAGUCCGCGUUCCCCCAUCCAUUGGCACUUGAAGACUUGCUGCUCCAUUGCUUCGAGCCUCGCCUCCACGCUUCCGGUCUUCUUGGGCUCCUCAACAUCACGGAUGUGCAUCACCCCCUCAUGCAUCUCGAUAGAUUGAGGGUGUUGCAGCACGCCCGCGAGGUAGGGAUUGAUGACCUUCUCGAAGAACUUGUCCUUCAGAACUUUUGGGGAUGCCAUAGUGAUCUAGAUCUGUCUGCAUAGUAGCUCGAAACGAAAACAGAUGAUAUUUGCGCGAUACGAGGGUCAGACCUUCCGGGAGAAUAUAUAAUGUUGUUUUCCCGGCCAAAAGGAGUACUCCCCAAGAAAACGGAGUCCGGGAGGCACACGACGUGCCCACAAGCUACCCAGGCGCGGCCAGGGGGUAGGCCGCGCCUAGCAGGCUUGUCGCCUCCUCGUGCGCUUUCCGGACUACUUUAAAUUUUUCUAUUUUUCUAAAAAUUCGAAAACGGAGAAAAAUUGCUACUGGAAAAGUUUUGGAGUCGGUUUACUUACCGAAUCACAUACCUCUUCGUUUUUGGAGUCUGAAACGGGCUAAUAAAUAUCCCUUAUGUACUCCUCCAGAGUUAUGGUAUUAAUAAUAUUGCUUUCAACUUUAUGGGAGUACCUGAGAUAUAAUGCUUGAUUGUUUGCCCAUUCACCACUCUCGGAAAAUUACCUUCAGUGUUGUUGAUCUUGAUGGCACCGGAACGAUAUACUUCCUCAACAAUGUAAGGACCUUCCCAUUUAGAGAGAAGCUUGCCUGCAAAAAAACUUAAACGAGAAUUGUAUAGCAAGACAUAAUCACCUACAUUGAACUCACGUUUUUGUAUCCUUUUAUCAUGCCACCUCUUAACCUUUUCUUUGAACAACUUGGCAUUUUCAUAUGCCCGAGUUCUCCAUUCAUCAAGUGAGCUAAUAUAAAAUAACCUGUUCUCACCAGCAAGAUUGAAAUCAAAGUUGAGCUCUUUGAUUGCCCAAUAAGCCUUAUGCUCUAGCUCAAGAGGUAAAUGACAUGCUUUACCAUAAACCAUUUUGUACAAAGACAUGCCCAUGGGAUUCUUAUAAGCAGUUCUAUAAGCCCACAGUGCAUCAUCAAGCUUCUUAGACCAAUUUUUUCUAGACCUAUUAACAGUCUUUUGCAGAAUUAGUUUAAUCUCUCUAUUACUUAUCUCUACUUGACCACUGGACUGAGGAUGAUAGGGAAAUGCAAUUCUAUGGUUGACGUCAUACUUAGCAAGCGUUAUAUGGAAAGCACAAUGAAUAAAAUGUGAACUACCAUCAGUCACUAGAUAUCUAGGGACUCCAAAUCUAGGGAAAGUAACUUCUUUAAGCAUCCUAAUAGAGGUGUUAUGAUCAUCACUACUAGUUGGGAUAGCUUCUACCCACUUAGUAACGUAAUCAACAGCAACUACAAUAUGAGUAUACCCGUUGGACUUUGGAAAAGGUCCCAUAUAAUCAAAACCCCAAACAUCAAAUGGUUCAAUGACAAGUGAAUAAUGCAUAGGCAUCUCCUGACAUUUAUUGAUAUUACCUCUUCUUUGACAUUCAUCACAAGACAAGACAAACUUACGGGCAUCCUUGAAGAGAGUAGGCCAAUAGAAACCUGAUUGCAAUACCUUGUGUGCAGUUCUAUCUCCCGCAUGGUGUUCUCCGUAAGCCUCGGAGUGACACUUCUGUAGGAUCUGUCUCUGUUCAUGCUCAGGUACACAACGUCUAAUAACACCAUCUACUCCUUCCUUAUAAAGGUGAGGAUCAUCCCUAAUUAAUGUCUCAAAUCAAAGAAGAAUUUCUUCUUUUGCUGGUUGAUAUGUCUCCAUCGUAUCUACUUUUCCAAACUCUUUUGCCCUUGUUUUGGACUCUAAUCUGCAUGAUUUGAAUGGAACUAACCCAGACUAACGUUGUUUUCAGCAGAAUUGCCAUGGUGUUGUUUUUGUGCAGAAAUGAAAGUUCUCGGAACGUCCUCAAAAUUUACGGAGAAGUUUUCUGGAAAAUAUGAAAAAUACCUGCGCAAAGAUCCACCGGAGGGGAUGGGCCAGUGGGCCACAAGCCGUGUUGCCGCGGCCACCCCCCUAGCCGAGACAACCAAGCUAGUGGGGCCCAUGUGGCUCUGCCGCCCCCAACUCUAGCUCUAUAAAUUCACUUUCGCCCAGAAAAAAAUCAGAAGAGAAGAUUUCGUCGCGUUUGUGAUACGGGGGCGCCGCCACAUCCUGUUCUUCAUCUGGAGGACAGAUCAGGAGUCCGUUUUGGGCUCCUUAGAGGGGAAAUCGUCACCAUCGUCAUCAUCAAUCGUCUUCCCUCUCCAAUUCCAUGAAGCUCUUCAUUGUUCGUGAGUAAUCUAUUCGUAGGCUCGCUGGGCGGUGAUGAGUAGGAUGAGAUCUAUCAUGUAAUCGAGUUAGUUUUGACGGGGAUUGAUCCCUAGUAUCCACUAUGUUCUGAGAUUGAUGUUGCUACUACUUUGCCAUGCUUAAUGCUUGUCACUAGGGCCCGAGUGCCAUGAUUUCAGAUCUGAAAUUAUUAUGUUGUCACCAAUAUAUGUGUGUUUUAGAUCCGAUCUUGCAAGUUGUAGUUACCUACUAUGUGUUAUGACCCGGCAACCCCGGAGUGACAAUAACCGGAACCACUCCCGGUGAUGACCAUAGUUUGAGGAGUUCAUGUGUUCACCAAGUGCUAAUACGUUGUUCCGGUCCUUUAUUAAAAGGAGAACCUUAAUAUCCUGUAGUAUCCUUUUGGACCCCGCUGCCACGGGAGGGAUGGACAAUAGAUGGCAUGCAAGUUCUUUUCCCUAAGCACGCAUGACUACACACGGAAUGCAUGCCUACAUCACAUUGACGAACAGGAGCUAGCCACAUAUAUCUCCGUGUUAUAACUGUUGCAUGAUGAAUAUCAUCCAAACGAAUCACCGACGCAUUGCCUACGAGUUUGUCCCACUAUUGUUGUUACUAAUGUUGUUGCUAUUGUUACUUGCCACUGUUGUUACUUGCUACUGUUGCUACUUGCUACUAUUGUCACUACUGAUGUUCCUUGCCACUGCUGCUACUCAUUACACUGCUACUACCUGCUACAAUACUAGUUCCACGAUGUUGACGGGGAAGAAUAUUUCCCGUCCACUGGCAACUUCUGGCGCCAUUGAUACCACAGUUAGGAAUAGUCUGCCUUGUCACCAGAUCGUUUCUGACACCGUUCUUAUCAUACUACUUUGCUGCUGAUACUUUGCUUGCACAUACUAAUCUUUCAGGUGUGGUUGAAUCUAACAUAUUCAGGUGCUAAUACGCGAGAGUAUCCUCUCACCUCUUGCCUGGCGAAUCAACAAAUUUGGGUCGAAUACUCUACCCUCGAAAACUGCCGCGAACCCACGCGCUGGUGGGCCAUUGCAAGACAAUUGCUAAUUGUUGAGCAACUGGGAGCAGUUUUGGCUCUGUUGUCGCGAAGGUAGCAAGCUAGGGACUCAUCAACAACAUUCUUCUAGUGUCGUUGCCGAGGACUGCCGUUAGCAGCAUUUUUCUGGCGCCGUUGCCGGGGAGGUAUUGCUAUAUUCUCUGAGUCACUUGGGAUUUAUAUCUUCUGAUCACUAUGAAGAAUCUAAAAGAUCCAAAAACCAAAGUCUUGCCCUCAACUAUGAGGGGAGGUAAGGAACUGCCAUCUAGCUCUGCACUUGAUUCACCUUCAGUUAUGGGUAAGUUUGCGACAUCACCUCCUCCUA
rnacentral:lncRNA from 1 species